CUGGCUUUGCACAUUGUCAUGGAAACCUCACAAGAUCUUAGGGAGGCCUGGCAUAAUGUCACACAGGCUCCUUUGGCUUCACAAAGGGCAGCAGUCUUAUCAGCAAUGGGAUGAAGAAGACAGCAAAGAAUUCUCCAAGUAUUUUGAGCCAGGUUGCAAACUGGGAGCCCGUAUGCUCUAGUCCUGCCUUGACACAAAGCCAGCUGAAUGAACUUUGGCCAGUCAUACCUCCUAGCUCUAUCAAGAAGGAAAUGGCAAACCACUUUGUUUCCAGAACAUUUUUUGUGUCUUCCAAUAAUUUAUUGUGGAAAGAAAUUACAGAGUUCAAGAGGACUUUUUUUUCACAUACAUCCCAAAAGUUUUCAAGUUCCUCUAAAAGCCCACCCUCUGUUAUAGUCCAAGUCUUCUUUCACAGUCAUUUUCAAGAAUAUAUGUUGCUGCAACUCCUUUAAAGAUUGCAGAGCUGGACCCAAGACUCAACCUUAUCUUGGCUAAGACAAAACAGAUUGGACAUCACUUCUUUUGAGGUGAACUCAAUGCUCCUGCUAAUACAUCCCAAAAUGGCACUUGCAUGAUUUAUGGUAGUGGUGGGGAAGAAAUAACUGACCCAUUGAUCCUUUGUUAUUUUCCUUUAUUUCUAAGGUCUACAUAGAUUUCCUGUAAAGUGAAAAAAUGGCAAUUUAAAAUUUUACCUGACAUUAAAAAAUCUUAAUUCAGUA